CUUGAGCCACAUCCCCAGCCCUCUUCAGAGACUUUUCAUGGAUCCAUCCAGGCUCCGGCAUUGAAGAAAUAGGAGAGGGAACAUCUAGAAGCUUGUCCCUUGAUCCAGCAAGCACCCAGCCCUGCUCUGUGCUGGGUGAGGCUCUGCACCCAUCAGUUUAUUGCUGCUCCCUGACACACUCAGACCAACAGAGUCUUGGGCGAAAGAAGAGUGUGAUGAUGGGGAGACUGUGUGGGGGUGGGGGUCGGAGUACAUGGGAGCUCUCUAUCUUCUGCUCAGUUUUGCUGGGAGCUGAAAACUUCUCUAAAACAGAAAGUUUGUUUAAGAAACAAAACCAGUCAUGCUCCCUGCCAAGCAGUUCCUCCACCAGGACUGCCCUGCCCGGCACCCCUACUUUCCUCCUGAGCCCUCAGCCUCCCCUCCCUGCACAGACCUCCCUUGGUCCCGUCCUGCACAGCAGAACUCUUCUUCCCUGUUGCCCUCUCCCUGUCCACCAACUUUCAGAGGAUGAGCUGCUGCCACUGCUGCAGUCCCUAUGCCACACAGCUGGUUCCCAUUCUCUUCAGGGACUGUCCUCUCCCUACUCCACCCACAGCCAUCUGGGUCGCCUCUUCUUGUCCUUUUCUUUCUGCUAUUGCUAAUUACAAAUGAAGAAAUCUGGAUUUUUUCCCUAA